UGAACUUAUUUAUAAAAUCAAAAUGAUUAAGCAGCUGCUAAUUAUAUGAAAAUAUUUCGACACAAGUACUUUUUCUUGCCCUAAAAUAUUUUUCGUAGUGCCAUUCUGAAUUAACCGGUCAGAAUUAUUUUUUUUAGGCACGUGCUUUGAGACCGUGUUGUUAGGUUAAUAAGUAACAAAGUGUGGAUUCAGGGACUGAACUCACUUCAAGUGCUAUUAAACUCAAUAAACACAUUAACAGUUUUCAACACUCCCACUUCCUCACAGAGAGACGAAAAACGUCGUUGCCGCGGCGCUGGCUAAAGCAAAAUUAAUUAAAAAAAAACUCACAUUAAAAGGGCAUUUUUUUUCAUUUGCGAAGUUGUAAGCUUGUAAUUUUUGUUUUAACUAUUGCUGUGUGGUUAAGUAUUCCCAAUUUCGAAGCACGUCUGACGAAAGUAUGAAUUGAACGUUUCAAGUUUACAUUGUUUUUGAAGGCGUCAGCUCCGGAACUUUUCCGAGAUCGAAGACAUGAUGUGCAAGAUAAUCUGAGAACUCAGGUGUAAGAAAAUCCAGUGAUUGCAGAGAGAAAAUUGUGAUCAAGGGGCUAGAUGCAGGUUAGGCAGCAUUACUUCUGGGUGCAGCCCAAAUGAGGUGGAUGGCACUUCUCCAACACUGACAGGUGAAAGCUGUUCACAUAGAGGAGGUGAGUUUGAAGGAAACCGAAAAGGUGGCCUGAUCUUGGAGAUCGUGAUCGAUGGAUGACCUCUCAUGUAAGCGAAAAUCACUGAAAUUAUUCAGCAGGUCAGGUUUCUAAUAAUUGAGUACCACAAUGUGUUCCAUGGUUCAACCAAUUAGUUGCUGGAGGAGGAGAAUUAUUUGCUGGGAAUAAUUUGAGCAGAUAAUUAAAUAGGCUCUCCCUUGGUGGACAUGGAGCUGGGUAAAAUGAAACGGUAAACGCUACAAAGAUUCAGCAGGUCAGUAUGCAUCUGUGGAAAGGGGAACAGUUAAUGCUUCGACUUCAGGAGCUGAGCAGCUGAGAAUUUUCAGCAGUUUCCGAUUUCUGGCAUCUGUGGUUUGCUUUUUAUUUAUUCUUGUGAUGUUGGAUAAAUUCUUUACAGUAUGGUAAAUCUGCCUAAUGAUUAGCUUGGUAGCAACAGCAGACACCUUUCCAGUAAUAAAUGAUAUA